UGGAUACUUAUUAGGUUUUUUC
rnacentral:siRNA from 1 species